GCCCCGUACACAAAAAUGCACAUAUUGUGAGCUCGAUGAGUAGGGCGGGACACGUGGUAUCCUGUCUGAAUAUGGGGGGACCAUCCUCCAAGGCUAAAUACUCCUGACUGACCGAUAGUGAACCAGUACCGUGAGGGAAAGGCGAAAAGAACCCCGGCGAGGGGAGUGAAAAAGAACCUGAAACCGUGUACGUACAAGCAGUGGGAGCCUCUUAAUGGGGUGACUGCGUACCUUUUGUAUAAUGGGUCAGCGACUUAUAUUCUGUAGCAAGGUUAACCGAAUAGGGGAGCCGAAGGGAAACCGAGUCUUAACUGGGCGUUAAGUUGCAGGGUAUAGACCCGAAACCCGGUGAUCUAGCCAUGGGCAGGUUGAAGGUUGGGUAACACUAACUGGAGGACCGAACCGACUAAUGUUGAAAAAUUAGCGGAUGACUUGUGGCUGGGGGUGAAAGGCCAAUCAAACCGGGAGAUAGCUGGUUCUCCCCGAAAGCUAUUUAGGUAGCGCCUCGUGAAUUCAUCUCCGGGGGUAGAGCACUGUUUCGGCAAGGGGGUCAUCCCGACUUACCAACCCGAUGCAAACUGCGAAUACCGGAGAAUGUUAUCACGGGAGACACACGGCGGGUGCUAACGUCCGUCGUGAAGAGGGAAACAACCCAGACCGCCAGCUAAGGUCCCAAAGUCAUGGUUAAGUGGGAAACGAUGUGGGAAGGCCCAGACAGCCAGGAUGUUGGCUUAGAAGCAGCCAUCAUUUAAAGAAAGCGUAAUAGCUCACUGGUCGAGUCGGCCUGCGCGGAAGAUGUAACGGGGCUAAACCAUGCACCGAAGCUGCGGCAGCGACACUAUGUGUUGUUGGGUAGGGGAGCGUUCUGUAAGCCUGUGAAGGUGGCCUGUGAGGGUUGCUGGAGGUAUCAGAAGUGCGAAUGCUGACAUAAGUAACGAUAAAGCGGGUGAAAAGCCCGCUCGCCGGAAGACCAAGGGUUCCUGUCCAACGUUAAUCGGGGCAGGGUGAGUCGACCCCUAAGGCGAGGCCGAAAGGCGUAGUCGAUGGGAAACAGGUUAAUAUUCCUGUACUUGGUGUUACUGCGAAGGGGGGACGGAGAAGGCUAUGUUGGCCGGGCGACGGUUGUCCCGGUUUAAGCGUGUAGGCUGGUUUUCCAGGCAAAUCCGGAAAACCAAGGCUGAGGCGUGAUGACGAGGCACUACGGUGCUGAAGCGACAAAUGCCCUGCUUCCAGGAAAAGCCUCUAAGCAUCAGGUAACAUCAAAUCGUACCCCAAACCGACACAGGUGGUCAGGUAGAGAAUACCAAGGCGCUUGAGAGAACUCGGGUGAAGGAACUAGGCAAAAUGGUGCCGUAACUUCGGGAGAAGGCACGCUGAUAUGUAGGUGAAGCGACUUGCUCGUGGAGCUGAAAUCAGUCGAAGAUACCAGCUGGCUGCAACUGUUUAUUAAAAACACAGCACUGUGCAAACACGAAAGUGGACGUAUACGGUGUGACGCCUGCCCGGUGCCGGAAGGUUAAUUGAUGGGGUUAGCGGCAACGCGAAGCUCUUGAUCGAAGCCCCGGUAAACGGCGGCCGUAACUAUAACGGUCCUAAGGUAGCGAAAUUCCUUGUCGGGUAAGUUCCGACCUGCACGAAUGGCGUAAUGAUGGCCAGGCUGUCUCCACCCGAGACUCAGUGAAAUUGAACUCGCUGUGAAGAUGCAGUGUACCCGCGGCAAGACGGAAAGACCCCGUGAACCUUUACUAUAGCUUGACACUGAACAUUGAGCCUUGAUGUGUAGGAUAGGUGGGAGGCUUUGAAGUGUGGACGCCAGUCUGCAUGGAGCCGACCUUGAAAUACCACCCUUUAAUGUUUGAUGUUCUAACGUUGGCCCGUAAUCCGGGUUGCGGACAGUGUCUGGUGGGUAGUUUGACUGGGGCGGUCUCCUCCUAAAGAGUAACGGAGGAGCACGAAGGUUGGCUAAUCCUGGUCGGACAUCAGGAGGUUAGUGCAAUGGCAUAAGCCAGCUUGACUGCGAGCGUGACGGCGCGAGCAGGUGCGAAAGCAGGUCAUAGUGAUCCGGUGGUUCUGAAUGGAAGGGCCAUCGCUCAACGGAUAAAAGGUACUCCGGGGAUAACAGGCUGAUACCGCCCAAGAGUUCAUAUCGACGGCGGUGUUUGGCACCUCGAUGUCGGCUCAUCACAUCCUGGGGCUGAAGUAGGUCCCAAGGGUAUGGCUGUUCGCCAUUUAAAGUGGUACGCGAGCUGGGUUUAGAACGUCGUGAGACAGUUCGGUCCCUAUCUGCCGUGGGCGCUGGAGAACUGAGGGGGGCUGCUCCUAGUACGAGAGGACCGGAGUGGACGCAUCACUGGUGUUCGGGUUGUCAUGCCAAUGGCACUGCCCGGUAGCUAAAUGCGGAAGAGAUAAGUGCUGAAAGCAUCUAAGCACGAAACUUGCCCCGAGAUGAGUUCUCCCUGACUCCUUGAGAGUCCUGAAGGAACGUUGAAGACGACGACGUUGAUAGGCCGGGUGUGUAAGCGCAGCGAUGCGUUGAGCUAACCGGUACUAAUGAACCGUGAGGCUUAACCUUACAACGCCGAAG
rnacentral:rRNA from 1 species